AUGCGUUUUUUCUCCUCACUUUGGAAAUGGGCUCAUUUUGAGCCCACAACCUAGCUGUUUCCUGAACAUGGGCCAGACCGAUCUUCUUCUUAUGCACGUCUGUGCUAUGGUCUUUCCUUGGGCCAUUUUCAAGGCCCGAAAGGAUUUUGUAGUUCAUAAACCAAUUAAAGCAACUCUUAACGACAUUAAUUAAUUAGGAUAUUUCUCUUUAUUUGUAUAGACAAAAACAAAAAAUAAAAAAUCAUAGUUGCUUUUAGGAUUGUCUUUUCAAAAUAAACUGAGACGAGGCUCACCAAA
rnacentral:lncRNA from 1 species